UACGGGGGGAGCAAGCGUUGUCCGGAAUUAUUGGGCGUAAAGGGCUCGUAGGCGGUUUGUCGCGUCGGGAGUGAAAACCCAGGGCUUAACUCUGGGCUUGCUUUCGAUACGGGCAGACUAGAGGUAUGCAGGGGAGAACGGAAUUCCUGGUGUAGCGGUGAAAUGCGCAGAUAUCAGGAGGAACACCGGUGGCGAAGGCGGUUCUCUGGGCAUUACCUGACGCUGAGGAGCGAAAGUGUGGGGAGCGAACAGG
rnacentral:rRNA from 1 species